UUUGCAAAAAGGACCCUAGCUCCGCAGCGCCCCGCCCCCUCCUCCCCUCGCCGCCGUCCGUUUGCGUCCUCUGGGCAAAGCCCCCGCGUGGAUUUGGCGGCGACGAGGCCUCUGGCGCGCUGCAGCGGCUCAGCUGCGAGGAGGCAAGCGGGGCUGCGUGCGGUCGUCCUCCCGUGCUCGCGCCCUCCCGUGCUCGCGCACGACACAGAGGCCAUUGCGGUGGCGAACUUGGUGGGGAAGGCGACCUCCGGUGAGGGGCGGCGGAUCCGGGCGCUAGAUGGCCAGAACGGGUGGAUUCGGGGGAAAUCCGGCCGGAUCCGGUCGUCGAGGUGCUCCGGCGGCGGACUAGGGGCAAGCACGGGGUGGCUUGGCAUCGGGUGGAGCCCCAUGGCCAUCCAUGGCAGACAGAGAGAGGUUAGAGAGAUAAGAGGAAGGGGAAGCAGAGGGAAAACGAGGCAGGGCGGCGGCGCUCGCCGGCACGGUUGCUGGUGGACAGACUGCGAUGAGGCAGGGAGACGUGGGCGCCAGGCGGUGAUGCGGCCGCUCGGGGGCUCGAGUGGCGCGGCUGCUCCAUACAAAAUGGCGGUGGCGGCCAGAGUGCAGGGGCAGGGGAGGCGGAUCCGGAGGUGGGAGGCGAGGCGGGGUUCACCGAUGACGACGAGGAAGGCCGGAGCACGGCUUCUCGGCCAGAUCCAUGGCUCAUGAGCAGAAAGGAGACAGGGAGGUGAAGAAGAGAAAAAGGGAGAAGGGAGGGGCAGUGUGGUGACAAGGCAGGUGCUCGCCGGACCCGAUCGACGGCGGACGGGCGCCGGAGACGGAGGGAUCUGGCACGGCGGAAGUGAAAGGCGGCAACUCCGCCGGCCUGUCUGGCGACACCAACCAGGCCACGAAUGGCGCAGCACAGUUGUCACAGCCACUCCAGCGAGUACGAAUGAGGACUUGACCACGAAGUCUACAACGCCAUGUUUUCCUCACAUUCAUAGUUUAGCUCUUUAGUGAGGAAUCUCAUGCAAUCUUCUGAUAUUUGACAGUAAUUGGUGUCGGUACAGAAUGGGGAGCAGUUCUCGCUUUGGACAUUUUUAGGAUGUUGUUUGGCAGCAUGUUUUUAAGAAAUGCAUAUACAGUAAAGCUCACAAAGGCCAGCUAAUAUGCUUGCAUCUUUGCCAUGAAAUUACAGUAUGACAUGUUGUUCAAAAUAUUUUCGCUCCAUGAGGAGAAAGCUAAAUCCAGUUACAACAUGUUAGUGGAGUUCACAACCUGUAUCUUUGAGUGGUGCAAUGGGCUGCCUAGAUGCUGCCCUAAGGAUGAGCGGGUCAAGGUGCUGGACUGGAAGCACGGGGAGGAGGAUAAUUCCGUCAGGUACAACAGAGCCGUCGACUAAAGAAUUAACCGAACCAAUCGCUUUAUUUGAAGCUCUGAUUGUAGUUAUUUUUUUGUUCAUUAUUUUUUUAUCUUAAUAUGGGAGGAUUAUCACUGUAUAAUCUGAGAUCCUGACACAUCAACAUUUUAGCAUUGAUAAAUGUGUCACUUUGACUGGGUCUAUUAGGCAGUACUUGUAAGGUCUAUAAUUCUAAGUUCGACCUUUAAUUGGUAA